rnacentral:rRNA from 1 species
UACGGAAGGCAGCAGUGGGGAAUAUUGCACAAUGGGCGCAAGCCUGAUGCAGCCAUGCCGCGUGUAUGAAAAAGGCCUUCGGGUUGUAAAGUACUUUCAGUCGUGAGGAAGGUGUUAAGGUUAAUAACCUUAGCAAUUGACGUUAGCGACAGAAGAAGCACCGGCUAACUCCGUGCCAGCAGCCGCGGUAAUACGGAGGGUGCGAGCGUUAAUCGGAAUUACUGGGCGUAAAGGGCACGCAGGCGGUUAAUUAAGUUGGAUGUGAAAUCCCCGGGCUUAACCUGGGAAUGGCAUUCAAGACUGGUUAGCUAGAGUCUUGUAGAGGGGGUAGAAUUCCAUGUGUAGCGGUGAAAUGCGUAGAGAUGUGGAGGAAUACCGGUGGCGAAGGCGGCCCCUGGACAAAGACUGACGCUCAUGUGCGGAAGCGUGGGGAGCAAACAGGGAUUAGAUACCCGU